GAAAUGCGAUAAGUAAUGUGAAUUGCAGAAUUCAGUGAAUCAUCGAAUCUUUGCACGCACAUUGCGCCCGCCAGUAUUCUGGCGGGCAUGCCUGUUCGAGCGUCAUUUCAACCAUCAAGCCCCCGGCUUGUGUUGGGGACCUGCGGCUGCCCGCAGGCCCUGAAAAACAGUGGCGGGCUCGCUGUCACACCGAGCGUAGUAGCAUACAUUCUCGCUCAGGGCGUGCUGCGGGUUCCGGCCGUUAAACGACCUUCAUAACCCAAGGUUGACCUCGGAUCAGGUAGGAAGACCCGCUGAACUUAAGC
rnacentral:misc_RNA from 1 species